rnacentral:rRNA from 1 species
CCAAGGAGUCUAACAUGUGCGCGAGUCAUUGGGAACUGAAAAGCCCAAAGGCGCAAUGAAAGUGAAGGUCGGCCUCGCGCCGACCGAGGGAGGAUGGGCCGCGUCACGAUGCGGUCCCGCACUCCCGGGGCGUCUCGUUCUCAUUGCGAGAAGAGGCGCACCCAGAGCGUACACGUUGGGACCCGAAAGAUGGUGAACUAUGCCUGGUCAGGACGAAGUCAGGGGAAACCCUGAUGGAGGUCCGUAGCGAUUCUGACGUGCAAAUCGAUCGUCGGAACUGGGUAUAGGGGCGAAAGACUAAUCGAACCAUCUAGUAGCUGGUUCCCUCCGAAGUUUCCCUCAGGAUAGCUGGCACUCGCGUGUUCGUAAGAACUUGUACGAGUCUCAUCUGGUAAAGCGAAUGAUUAGAGGCCUUGGGGCCGAAACGACCUCAACCUAUUCUCAAACUUUAAAUGGGUGAGAUCUCUGGCUUGCUUGAACGUUGAAGCCACGAGAUUUCGGAUCAGAGUGCCAAGUGGGCCAAUUUU